GUACACUCCUACGGGAGGCAGCAGUGGGGAAUAUUGCACAAUGGGCGCAAGCCUGAUGCAGCCAUGCCGCGUGUAUGAAGAAGGCCUUCGGGUUGUAAAGUACUUUCAGCGGGGAGGAAGGCGAUAAGGUUAAUAACCUUGUUGAUUGACGUUACCCGCAGAAGAAGCACCGGCUAACUCCGUGCCAGCAGCCGCGGUAAUACGGAGGGUGCAAGCGUUAAUCGGAAUUACUGGGCGUAAAGCGCACGCAGGCGGUCUGUCAAGUCGGAUGUGAAAUCCCCGGGCUCAACCUGGGAACUGCAUUCGAAACUGGCAGGCUAGAGUCUUGUAGAGGGGGGUAGAAUUCCAGGUGUAGCGGUGAAAUGCGUAGAGAUCUGGAGGAAUACCGGUGGCGAAGGCGGCCCCCUGGACAAAGACUGACGCUCAGGUGCGAAAGCGUGGGGAGCAAACAGGAUUAGAAACCCUAGUAGUCCC
rnacentral:rRNA from 1 species